rnacentral:lncRNA from 1 species
GGGUUGGGCUAAAAAAUCCUUAAGAUAAGAUAGAUUGAUACCCAGGGGUCGACCGUUUGUGAGAUAUGGUUGAAAUCAGACCUCUGACCACUAAAAUGAUGGCCUAGGGCAAAAUAAGGUUUCAAUCAAUGAUCCGAGGUUAGGGUUUGAGAGCUAGCUUGAAGUUCUUUCUAAAGACAUAAGAAUUGUUAUGAGAAGGUUUUGGAAGGAUUAGCAAUUGAUGUUCAAAGUCAAGGUUUGUAUCAGUGAUUUGGGUUUUAUAUAAUAUAAUUAGGGCUUGCAAUUUUGGCUAGUUCAUGCAAUUGGCAUGACAUCUAUAGUUGAAAAAUUUGAUAUUGUUUGGAUUAUUAGAUUUUCUAAGUGUUAAAAAAAAUUUGUGAUAAUCUAAUGAAGUGGUUUAGAGAUAUCUAGUUUUUAGGACAAGAGGGUUUCAGAAGGUGGCAGUUUGAGGUUGGGUAGGGUUUCUAUGAUAUCUAAAGAUCUAUCAGUCGGAUUAUAGUGAAAAUUAACAUGGUGUUAGAAGACUUAAAGAUCAAGCUACACACAAAUUUUGAGACAAAGUUAAUGGUUGGAGAAGGAGAAAUAAUUUGCUUUACUUUUCAAGUUAGCAUCCAAGUAACAUUGGUGCAAUUUUUGGAGGUUUUCUCAUAAUCUGUAAGUUGGAUUGGGCUAAAAAUUCUUGAGAAUUUAGAAGACUUGCAUUGACAAUUGCAUGCAAAAUUCCACAUCAAGUGGACAGUUGGAUUGGAUAUUACAGCUUCUUAAAGCUCACUGAUUAGGAUUGGGGUUUACAAGAAAAAAUCUAAAUUGCUUAAAUAUGAAAGUAACAAGGUAAUUGGGAUUUAUGUAUGG